rnacentral:rRNA from 1 species
UACAGAGGUCUCAAGCGUUGUUCGGAUUCAUUGGGCGUAAAGGGUGUGUAGGUGGCGCCGUAAGUCGGGUGUGAAAUUCGAGGCUUAACUCCGAAACUGCAUUCGAUACUGCGGUGCUUGAGGACUGGAGAGGAGACUGGAAUUUACGGUGUAGCGGUGAAAUGCGUAGAUAUCGUAAGGAAGACCAGUGGCGAAGGCGGGUCUCUGGACAGUUCCUGACGCUGAGGCACGAAGGUCAGGGGAGCAAACGGG